rnacentral:tRNA from 1 species
GGCCAGGUGGCGAAGUGGUAACGCGGCGGUUUGCAAAACCGAUAUGCACGGGUUCAAUUCCCGUCUUGGCCUCAA